AACGCAAAUUGCGCUCCUUGGUAUUCCAGGGAGCAUGCCUGUUUGAGCGUUGUAAAAUUCUUACUCUUGAUUUAUUAUAUGUAAAUCUUAUGAGUACAUCUUGGGUUGAUCUGUUUUUUAUAGAGCAACCUAAAAUGAAUAGGCGGAAAACUCUUUAAAAAGUAGCCGUUGACGCAUCAAGUUUUAAUUAACUAUCGUCCUUGGUUAUGAGAUUUCUUGUUUCUUACUAUUAUAAUUUUAACAACUAUGACCUCAAAUCAGGUAGGACUACGCGCUGAACUUAA
rnacentral:misc_RNA from 1 species